rfam:Vigna angularis cultivar Jingnong 6 chromosome 7, whole genome shotgun sequence.
AUCUGGUGGUGGAGACAACUUGCAGAUAACUUCUUGAAUCUCUCCCAAUACUCAUAUAAGCUUUCUCCACCAAGUUGUCUGAUCCUAGAAAUAUCUUUUCUGAUGGU